rnacentral:lncRNA from 1 species
ACAUCAAUAUGCAUUGAAUUAAUGAAUUUAUUCAAUUUCAAGAUAAUAAUAUGCUAACAAGUUAAUGGCAUGGUGAAAACGUAUAGCUAAAUUGCUAAUCUGAAUAUACAAUAUAACAGAAAAAUUGUUGGUGAGAAGUUAUUAAAUAGUUAGCGCUGUAGUGUUGAGAAGAUAAUUUCUUUCCCAAAAAUAAUAUGAAGUAAAAAUGAUCCAAAAGAUAAAAUAUUUCAUGAGACUGAUUAAUAUAUGUGGGAAAGUGUCAGAGGGUGAUAUUUUGAGAAAAAGGUUACAUUUGGAAGAAAGGUCCAAAUGAGUAUACAAAUGAAAUAUGAUGGCUUUUACACAAAGGAGCCAAUCAGUAGAGUAUAUUGAAAAGCAUAAACAUGAUUUAGGGCAAGCACAGUUAUUACAAUUGCUAAAAAGAGGGUUGACAUGAUCCAAAUGGCAUUAAUCAGCCAUAUUUGUAGGAAAGAGACACAGCCAACAAAAAGGCUGACUAAAAAGCAAUGAGGCUAUUUAAAGUCUAGUGGGACUAAAAUUAAAUAAAAAGUACCAAAGCAGAUGGUAAAGAUUGACAGAAUAUAGAUGGGAAAGAUAACUCACAAAGAGGUAUGUAUUAAGCUGGUCAAGUUUAGAAGACGAUCAUUCAAAAUCUUUGGAGCUAGAUCAAAGGGCAUGCAGUAAACUGAAAAGCAUUUAUUCAAUAAAAUCGACAGAAAUUCAGUAAGAACACAGGGAGGCCAUGGCCUUGGGGAUGGGGACCACAUCCAUCCACCUACAGCUCUGUCUUGUAGAAUAACUGUUCCAGUGGGCUUGACAACCAAGGUCUUUUCCAUCUCCCCCAGAUCUCUGGGAUGGAAUUGCCAUUCUGGGUAGUUUGGCAGCAGAUGAAUAUCACAAGAUCCCAUCUUCUGUGGAAGACCAAUAUUGAGUGGAAAGACUCAGCCAGACAGUGCUGUUCCUCCACUCCUAGUUCCCACUAUGCAGGAAAGAUCCGGAGAGGCUGUUGCUGAAGAAAGCAAUUCUUUAAAGAACAACUCUUUAUUGUUGGAGAGACAUACCAGUGGUUUCAGCAGUCAAGUAGCAGGUCCUAACUCUUCCAUCUUCUUUUUUUUUUUUAAGAUUUUAUUUGAGAGAGAGGGAAAGAGAGAACAAGCAAGAGGAGGGACAAAGGGGAAAGGGAGAAGCAGACUCACCACUAAGCAUGGAGCCCCAUUCGGAGCUGGAUCCCAGGACACUGAGCUCAUGAUCUCAGCCGAGUCAGAUCCUUAACUGACUGAGCCACCCAGGCACCCCUCUCUUCCAUCUUCUUAAGACAAGAUCUGUUUUUGAUCUUAAGUAGAGUCACCAGACAGUAAAUAUUUGGAAAUCCCAACUUCCCAGGCUCUGGGUUGUGGAAGAUCUGCACAUGGUGGCGGCAGCAGCAGGGUGGCAGUCUUACUUCCUGACAUCUCCUCAGCCCUCAUAUCCUACUCAAUAGGGAUAAUUCCAAUAGGUCAGUAAGUGGAGAGAGUUACUUAUCACACCCAAUUCUUGCUUCAUAACUCAGAGGUUCUGCUAGUUAAGGGUCAAAUUUAGCCUCAAAGAUUGGCAUCUCUCUGCUUCUCUCAAGGAACUUCACUUCAAUUAGAUAAGACUGUAGAUCAGAGAAUUGUUGAAAGAAAGAAAGAAAGAAAGAAAGAAAGAAAGAAAGAAAGAAAGAAAGAAAGAAAGAAAAAGAAAUUCAACCACCAGCAAGUUGUAGAGGUUAAGAACUUGAUGUGAUACAAAUAGAGGCAGACCUGCUAGAAACUUAAGAGGAAGAAAGAGCAAAAAAUUGCCUGGCUAAAAUGAUAAUUAUCCCUGACAGAAAGGAAGAUUAUUUACAUGCCAAAAAUGGAAUCUUUGAAGGAAUGGCAUCAAUGACAUAUUGCAGGAGAAAUAGACUUCACUGAACCAGUCCAGUCAAGUCACUAAAUAAAUCAACAAGCAAACAACCAUAAUAAGCCCCAUGAGGAACUUUUUAUCCAGAGCUUCUACAAUAUAUUGCCUAAAAUUUCUACUUUCAUGCACCCCUGGGUGGCUCAGUGGUUGAGCAUCGGCCUUUGGCUCAGGGUGUGAUCCCAGAGUCUCAGGAUCAAGUCCUAUCGGGCUUCCUGCAUGGAGCCUGAUUCUCCUGUCUCUGCCUCUCUCUCUGCCUCCUUUUGUGUCUCUCAUGAAUAAAUAAAUAAAAAAUUUUAAAUGCCUACUUUCAAACAGGGAAGUAUAAGAUAAGCAAAGAUACAAGAAAGCAUGACCAUCCAUAGAAAAAAAAUGUAGGCAAUAGGAAUUGUCUUGAAGGAGACUCAGAUUUUGAACUUAACAGAAAAACAACAAAGCAGUUAUUAUAAAAUACAUUCAAACAUCUGAUGGAAUACAUAUUUUUAAAACAGAAAGUGGGGCAGCCUGGGUGGCUCAGUGGUUUAGCCCCACAUUCAGCCUAGGGUGUGAUCCUGGAGACCCAGGAUCGAGUCCCACAUCAGACUCCCUGCAUGGAGACUGCUUCUCCCUCUGCCUGUGUCUCUGCCUGUGUCUCUGCCUCUCUCUCUCUCUCUCUCUUUCUGUUUCUCAUGAAUAAAUAAAUAAAAAUCUUUAAAAAACUAAAAAAGGCAAAACAAAAUAAACAGCUCAAAACAAAAGCAAAACAAAAACUGAAAGAACCUGUUGCUAGCACCUACCUUACAAGAAAUGCUAAAGUUCUUAGGCUGAAAGUAAGUGACACCAGCGAAUAAUUUGAAUCCAGUUGAAAAAAAAUUAAAAACUGAGUGCCAGAUAAUAAAGUGGGCAAUUUUAAAAAGGCAACAUAAAUGCAUAUUUCUUCCCUUAACAGAUUCUAAAAGCAAAUAUGUAAACAAUAGGGACAUAAUAAUAUUGUAGGUCCUAUGUGAUAUAGAAAUGUGGUAUUUUUGACAAUAAGAGCACAAAAGAGGUGAACAAAGACAAAACUAUAGUAGUAAGGAAAUGACAUCAGAUAGUAACUCAAAUCUACAGGAAGGAAUGAAAAGAACUAAAAAAUAGAGAAGACUGAUGUGGCAAACUCUAUAAAUAUAUACUUGUUCUCCUUUCCUCUCUAAGCUUCUUUAAAACAUAAAAUUUAUAAGGUAAUAAUUACAACAAGGUUUUGUUUGGCUUAAAACAUAUACAGACAUAAUCUAUAUAAUGAGAAUAGCACCAAAUGGAUGAGAUAAUAUAGCCAUAUAGGAGUAAAAUUUCUCUAUCUCAUUGGAAUUAAAGUAACAUAAAUCUGAUAAAUUAAGACAUUGUAUGUCCUGGAAAAAUCUCUAAGAAAAUAACUCAAAAAUAC